CUGUUACAACAGAUGAGCCCAAAGUUGCCAAAACUUGGAAGUCACUUUCCAAACAGGAAUUAAAUCAAAUGCUCGCAGAAACACCACCAGUUUGGAAAGGCUCAUCAAAGCUAUUUCGAAAUCUUAAAGAAAGAGGUGUGAUUUCUUACACAGAAUAUCUUUUUCUUUUAUGUAUUUUAACAAAGCCACAUGCAGGGUUCAGAAUAGCUUUCAACAUGUUUGACACUGACGGCAAUGAGAUGGUGGAUAAAAAAGAGUUCUUGGUGCUUCAAGAGAUAUUCCGGAAAAAAAAUGAGAAGAGAGAAACUAAAGGAGAUGAAGAAAAGCGUGCAGUGCUGCAUCUUCAACUUUAUGGAUACCAUUCUCCUACUAAUAGUGUAUGUACAAUACUUUAAAUGUUCUUUAUGUAUAUAGCCCUCACCUGUUAUACUUGAUAAUGUUAUUUCUUUAUAUAAAGCUAUAUCUGCUGUUUACUAA
rnacentral:sRNA from 1 species